AACGCAUCUUGCACUCCCUGGUAUUCCGGGGAGUACGCCUGUUUCAGCAUCAUGAGCACCAUCGAUCGGAUUUCUCUCUGGUCGGAUCUGGGCCGUCUUUUCUGCGCGCUGGGAUUUUGUUCCUUUGCUCGCCGGCCUGAAAUCGAAUUCGUCGCCGCCAGUUGUUAUUCAAAGGCGUCAUAGUUGGCCUUGUGGUCAUCUUUCGCUGAUGUUUUGGCGCUGGGCCCGGUGAGGAGGAGGAGGAUGAAAAAUUUCUCCUCAAAUAUAUUCUAUAUUUUGAUCUGAAAUCAGGCGGGAUUACCCGCUGAACUUAA
rnacentral:misc_RNA from 1 species